CGCCCUUCGGGGUGAGCGGCGGACGGGUGAGUAACGCGUGGGAAUAUGCCCCUUAGCUCAGGAUAGCCCCGGGAAACUGGGAGUAAUACUGGAUACGCCCUUCGGGGGAAUAAGGGAUUAGCCCGCGUCUGAUUAGGUAGUUGGUGGGGUAAUGGCCUACCAAGCCUACGAUCAAUAGCUGGUUUUAGAGGAUGAUCAGCCACACUGGGACUGAGACACGGCCCAGACUCCUACGGGAGGCAGCAGUGAGGAAUCUUAGACAAUGGGCGCAAGCCUGAUCUAGCCAUGCCGCGUGAGUGAUGAAGGCCUUAGGGUCGUAAAGCUCUUUCGCCAGGGAUGAUAAUGACAGUACCUGGUAAAGAAACCCCGGCUAACUCCGUGCCA
rnacentral:rRNA from 1 species